rnacentral:tRNA from 1 species
GUGACAUAGCCAAGUGGUAAGGCAAGAGUCUGCAAAACUCUCAUUCGCCAGUACAAAUCUGGCCGGUCCCUCCA